CAAACCCGUUUAAACAAACGCGCUCUUUCAAUUUUCUCUCUCUUCCCCCAAUUUUCCCAGAAAAUUCAUCCAACAUUUUUUAGGCAGCCAAACACUUCCCACCAUGAACAGAUCCGCUCUCCUCGCUGCCUCCGUCGCCGCCGCGUCGGCCACCGCUGCUUCCCUUUCCUCCUCCGCAAAACUCUCUCUCCAGGACGGUGGGGCUCAGAGAGGCCACGGCGGAUCCUCGCCGGCGGUGAGUUCGGCGUCAACGGAGAAGUUUGCGCCGCGGUUCGACGGGUUGCGGUUCAUUGAAACGCUGAUUACUGCGCACAGAUGAACGCGCGUUGUUCAAACGCGCCUUUGGGGUUUUUUUUUACCCUAAUCUUUUUUGAUCUUGCACUGUCUAGAAAAUUGAGGAAAAUUACAAACGUGGGAAAUGUUUUAAUUUUUUUUCUAAUGAUGUUUUGCCAUUUGGGUUUUUGGGUUGAGGAAUGGAGAGAAAAUUGUAACAUUACGGGAUUGUUACUGUUGUUGUAAUUUGUUUUCAAGGUAGUUUUUUUUUACUCGUGUUGUGAGUCGUGACUAUUUCUUUGUGAAAUCUAUGAGAGACAUGAAAAAAAAUGCUUUAAUUGAUUUAUUCAUUCUUCCCU